ACAAACCCGAGCAGCUUUGGCGGGGUCAGAGAUGUAGUAUAAAACGUUAAUGGAUGUACGGGGCGCGCCGUUUCGCCCGUUGCUGGCCAGAGGUGCUAGGGAGGAGCUGACGGAAACCCAGGAGAGGAUGCACCUUCCCCUGCCUUGGAAAGUUCCAAAUUUCUAUAAGGAAUGGAAAAGAUAGAUGAAGAAAAUAACAGCUGCAUGGGAAACAAGAGGGGAAGAUUCCAGAGACCAGAAAUUGUGACAAAUGCCUGCAUGACACAGGCCCAGCCAAUUCUGCUUUUUGGAGUCUCUUCUACAGAAAUACUCACCGAGAAUAGACACAAACAUACUCAUGGCCACAUACAAGAACCGACCAUUGUUUGUAACAAACAAUUCAACUGAAAACAUGAUAAACGCUCAUCAAUACAGGAAUGGAUAAAUAAAUCACCA